rnacentral:pre_miRNA from 1 species
AUUCUACUCCCUCCGUUGCACAAUACUACAUGCCUUCUAUUUGUCAAAAUAUAUAUGUAUCUAGACAUGUCUUAUUAUAUAGGUACAUCCAUUUUUGGACAAAUGGAAGUCAAGUAUUUUGGAACGGAGGGAGUACAUA